rnacentral:rRNA from 1 species
UUAGAGUUUGAUCAUGGCUCAGGACUAACGCUGGCGGCGUGCAUAACGCAUGCAAGUCGAGCGCUCAUUGGAUCUAUUGGUUUAGUGGGAGCGGCGGACGGGUGAGUAACACGUGAGCAACCUACCGUUUGGAGGGGGAUAACUCCCAGAAAUGGGAGCUAAUACCGCAUAAGCUUAGGUAAUCGAAGGGUUAUGUAAGUAAAGGUGAGUAGCGCCAAACGAGGGGCUUGCGGCCCAUCAGCUAGUAGGUGUGGUAGAGGCGCACCUAGGCGAUGACGGGUAGCUGUUCUGAGAGGAUGAUCAGCCACACUGGGACUGAGACACGGCCCAGACUCCUACGGGAGGCAGCAGCGAGGAAUUUUCCACAAUGGACCGAGAUAAGGUCUGAUGGAGCAACGCCGCGUGGAGGAGGAAGCACUUCGGUGUGUAAACUUCUUUUGGGUGGGAAGAUGAUGACGGUACCAUCCGAAUAAGCCCCGGCUAACUACGUGCCAGCAGCCGCGGUAAUACGUAGGGGGCGAGCGUUGUCCGGAAUUACUGGGCGUAAAGAGCGCGCAGGUGGUUUGAUAAGUCACUCGUGAAAGUUUUUGGCUUAACCAGGAAGGGUCGAGUGAUACUGUUGGACUUGAGGUUGGGAGAGGAGUGUGGAAUUCCCGGUGUAGUGGUGAAAUGCGUAGAUAUCGGGAGGAACACCAGUGGCGAAGGCGGCACUUUGGCCCACACCUGACGCUGAGGCGCGAAGGCUGGGGGAGCGAACGGGAUUAGAUACCCCGGUAGUCCCAGCAGUAAACGAUGGACACUAGGUGUCGUGGGUGUUGACCCCUGCGGUGCCCAAGCUAACGCAUUAAGUGUCCCGCCUGGGGAGUACGGCCGCAAGGCUAAAACUCAAAGGAAUUGACGGGGGCCCGCACAAGCAGCGGAGCGUGUGGUUUAAUUCGAUGCGACGCGAAGAACCUUACCAAGGCUUGACAUACAGCUGAAACUUUGUGGAAACAUUAGAGCCCUACCAGGUUCGCCUGGUAGCGGUUGUACAGGUGUUGCAUGGCUGUCGUCAGCUCGUGCCGUGGAGGUGUUGGGUUAAGUCCCGCAACGAGCGCAACCCUUGUUGCAAGUUAUAUUUUUCUUGCGAGACUGCCGGAAGAAGUCCGGAGGAAGGUGGGGACGACGUCAAGUCAGCAUGACCCUUACGUCUUGGGCUACACACACGCUACAAUGGCCGGUACAGAGGGCAGCGAGAGCGCGAGCUGGAGCCAAUCCCCCAAAGCCGGUCUCAGUUGGAAUCAGAGGCUGCAACUCGCCUCUGUGAACGCGGAGUUGCUAGUAACCGCAGGUCAGCAUUACUGCGGUGAAUACGUUCCCGGGCCUUGUACACACCGCCCGUCACGUCAUGAAAGCCGGUAACACCUGAAGCCGGUGGGCCAACCUCUUUGAGGGGGCAGCCGUCUAGGGUGGGAUUGGUGAUUGGGACGAAGUCGUAACAAGGGUAACCGUA